AACCGCGGCGAUACUGGGAGGAAGAGACCGUUCCGACCACAGCCGGAGCCUCUCCAGGGCCUCCUCGUAACAAGAAGAAUCGGGAGCUCCGUCCUCAGAGACCAAAAAAUGCUCACAUCUUAAAGAAGUCUCGGAUCUCUAAGAAGCCUCAGGUCCCGAAGAAACCCCGAGAAUGGAAGAACCCGGAGUCCCAGAGCGGCUUGUCCGGGGCCCAAGAUCCAUUCCCAGGCCCCGCCCCCGUCCCUGUGGAAGUGGUCCAGAAGUUCUGUCGCAUUGACAAAUCCCGAAAGCUACCACAUUCUAAAGCCAAAACUCGAAGCCGACUUGAGGUGGCUGAAGCUGAGGAAGAGGAAACAAGUAUCAAAGCUGCUCGUUCUGAGCUGCUCCUUGCUGAAGAACCUGGGUUUCUGGAAGGGGAGGAUGGGGAAGACACAGCAAAGAUAUGCCAGGCUGACAUUGUGGAGGCUGUGGACAUUGCAAGUGCAGCCAAGGUGAGCCUGAGGAGGUAAAGGAGCCAAGGGAUUGAUUGGUGGUGCAGGACAAUAGAGGAAUGGGGGCUAGAAGAAGGCGUUACUGCAGGGCA
rnacentral:sRNA from 1 species